AUACGUAGGGGGCGAGCGGUGUCCGGAUUUAUUGGGCGUAAAGGGUGCGUAGGCGGCCUUGUAAGUCAGAUGUGAAAGAUAAUGGCUUAACUGUGGUAAGCAUUUGAAACUGCAGGGCUUGAGUACAGGAGAGGAGAGUGGACUUCCUAGUGUAGCGGUGAAAUGCGUAGAUAUUAGGAGGAAUACCAGUGGCGAAGGCGACUCUCUGGACUGAUACUAACGCUGAGGCACGAAAGCGUGGUGAGCAAACAGUGUUAGAUACCCUGUUAGUCCACGCUAUAAACGAGGAGUGCUAGAUGUCGGGGGUCAAACCUCGGUGCCGCAGUUAACACAUUAAGCACUCCGCCUGGGGAGUACGGCCGCAAGGCUUAAACUCAAAUGAAUUGACGGGU
rnacentral:rRNA from 1 species